CUCUUUGAUGUCGUUUUCUUUAGAUCCAAAAUAAAAUAGAUAAUACCUGUAGAUCGGUCCGAGGCGUGUAGUCACUGUCUUUGAAAGAGAUUCGCCUCCUUAUAUGCACCGAAUUCUGGCGAUCCCUUCCCAAGAUACAACGGUCCGUUGAUUUUGUAGACGUGCACAGUACUACAAAAUCUCUUGAACUCCGCAGGGAUUUUUCUGUAUGCUCGUACAAAACUGAUUCAGAGCCAAAAGAUGA
rnacentral:lncRNA from 1 species